rnacentral:lncRNA from 10 species
AGAAUGGGUUGCAAAACUUGCUUACUUGUUUGACCUGCUCAAAGAACUCAUUAUGUCACUUCAGGGCGGAACAACAACUGUGUUCAAGUCGCCAGAUAAAAAUAGUUGCAUUCAAAACCAAAUUGGAAUUAUGGGGGCUAUGACAGGACAUUGGGGUUUUUGACAUGAUUCAAACAGCAGCCAUUUUGAAAGAGACUGAGCCAGGGGCUCUUUCUCUUAGCUGGUACAUGAUCACCACUCUCAGCUUUCAUAAGAGUUUGAGCAUUACUUCCCAGCAAAAAAGGCCUCUGAACUGGGAAGGAAUUGAUCUGCUACCCAUUUUUAAAUAAGCCAGGUCAAUUAUCUUUGUUCGUCGUAGGAGAAGAGCAACUGCUUGAAAUCACAAAUAACAGUGGCCUUAAAAGUAUGUUUGAGACAACUUCAAAUCUCCAUACGUUCUGAAUUAAAGUCAGUGUAGAAUAUCCUGAGACUGCCACAAAAAUCACUGAAAAUUCUGCUUCCAUUUCCAAUAUCCUAUCUAUGUGAAUCAUGGUUUUCUUUAGUGACAGCAACCAAAAGGAGAUUAUGAAGUAGAUUGGACAUAAGCAACACACUUCCAGUGUCACUGUCUCUGAUCAUCCCCAGAUGGAACCAUCUAGUUGCAGGAAAACAAGCUCAGGGCUUCCACUGAUGCUACAUUAUGGCCAAUCUCUACCUCUGCAUUGAUUGAAGACAUCUUUCUUCCCAUUCCUCCAGAAGGAACAUUUAAGACUAUUUAAAAUGCAUUGCUUCUGUUGGUUUUACAAGUUUGGCUAGGCACUAUGUAACGGUGAACUUUAGAGAGGGAAAGAGUGGCAGUUAAUAUUGGCAAAUUAUCAACUAUGUGCAGAAUCCCUGCUGAAUCAUUUACAUAUUGUCUCAUACUUAUCAAAGCAAUGUUUUGAUACCUCAUUACUUUUAAUACUUUUAAUACCUCAAUAAGUGGAAACUGAGUCUCAGAGAUAUCAAGUGUCUGUCUUAACAUCCCAACACUAAUAGAGUCAAAAUAUUUUAAAGUAGUGGUUCUCAAAGUGUAUUCUCC